UUUUGUUUUGUGUUUGUGAUAUCCCGUUCCUAUUUUCACUGCAUUCUUUCACAUGGUUAUCUCUCUCAACGUUCAAAGCAUACAAUGGUCAUCUUCCUCAAAGUCUAGCACUGAAUAUUUUUGUUGUGAUUUGGCUGUUUGGGUUUUUUUUGGUUCAUCAGGUGAUAUCUUUGUUUUAUUUUUCCUUGGUCGUUGUUUUGGUUUGGUUCAUCGUAAGUCCAUCUUUACUUUAUUUGUUUUGGCUUUUCAUCUUAAAGUUUUCUUUUUUCUUGACCAUUGUUUGAUGAUCUUUGUUAAAGUCUAUGUUGUCGUCUUCCUCAAAGUGUACCACUGAAUUUUAUUGUUGUGACCUAGCUGUUUGGGUUUUCUUUGCUUCAUCAGGUGAUUUUUAUGUUUUAUUUUUCCUUGGCCGUUGUUUUCCUUUGCUUUAUUGUAAGUCCUGCUUUAGUUUAUUUGUUUUGGGUUUUGAUGUUAAAGUUGUCUUCUUUCUUAACCAUUGUUUGAUGAUUUUUGUUAAAGUCUACAUUAUCGUCUUCCUGAAAGUGUACCACUGAAUUUUAUCGUUGUUAUUUGCCUGUUUGGGUUUUGUCUGCAUUAUGAGGUAAUUUUUUUGUUUUAUUUUUCAUUGGUCGUUGUUUUCGUUUGCUUUAUUGUAAGUCCAAUUUAGUUUAUUUGUUUUGGGUUUUGAUGUUAAAGUUCUCUUCUUUCUUCACCAUUAUUUGAUGAUCUUUGUUAAAGUUUACGUUUUUAUCAUUACUGUCUAGAUUUUUGUUAAAAUCUACGUUUUUACCUUUCUCUUUCUACCCUGUCAAUACUGAAGUAUGUAUCAGUAAAUUGAAUUUGAGCGUGUGUUUCCCGCUCAUUUCUGUCGAAUAACAUUUGACUGAUUGAUUGAUGUCUGUGUAUUUUACAGUAGAAGAAGAGUUUGGAGUCUUUUCAAGAUACACUUUCUUUCUUCUUUCCUCUAAGUUCUCUUGGUCCCUUUUCAUUUCUAUAUAGAGAGAAAUCAAGCAUGGACCAGCUGUUCACAUUCGAACCUCCACCAUUACCGCGAUGGCGGAAGAGAAUUUUUGAUUGAUAGUUUUUAGGAGAUUUUGAAGAGAAGAUCCAAGAAUUUUGAAGACCAAAGUCGAUCUUGAAGCUAACAUGACGAAAAUAAUUUUUAAGAGGAUUUUUUUAAAGUUUAAUUUUCUUUUGUAUGGAGAGGUAAGCAUUCAAGGAUAUGUUUGCUAUUUAUGGUUUUUAAGUGUUUUUUUUAUUCUUCUUCUAACUCUACUUUUACAUGAUUUUUCAUUCUUCUUUUACUUUUGCUUGCUUCUUUUACUUUUGCUUGCUGCAAAUAGUGUGUCGACAUGAAAAUUUAUUUGUGCUAAUCUUUUUUUAAAAUUGACUUUCACAUUUUGAUGAAAUGUAAGAAUCAAGAGGGACACAUGCGCUUUGAAGAAACCAAUACCAAAUUACUUCCUACCACAUUUUUUUUCUAUUACCUAAAUGCUCUUGGAAGACUUGAAUCAAGGAGAUGAUUUUUUACUUGGAUUUUUUUUCUCUUCCUUGAAUGUUCGUUCCUUAAAUGUUGUUUGUUCUAUUGUUAUAUUUUAGUUAUUGGAUUGUAUGCAUUUCUUGAUUUGGGUGUUGUAAUUUUGUUUAUCUUUUUAUAAACUUAUUUUUUUUUCCAUUGUUUUGUAAACAUAUGAUUAUGGGUUGAACAAAAGGUAAUAUAUGUUUUAGUAAUCUUUAUCUAUCUUACUAAUUUUUUGAUGAAAAAAAUAAAUAAAAACAGAUAAGAAUGAAACUUAUGCAAAGAUAUGCAUAAUUUAAAGGCUUUCUUUUAGCAAAUAUAGACCAAUAAAGGAUAUAUCAAUUUCAUGAGAUAUGUUGUGACAUAUUCACUUUAAGAUGAUAAUCUUUUCCUGUUGCUUAUGUUCAAAAUUCAUGCAAUUUUUUUUUUAAUGUUAUGUUGGCUCCAAUGUCCUUACACUUUAAGCAUUGUUUGAGUGAUAAUUCCAUGUCAAUUGGAUUGAUUACGUAAUAUGUUAUUGAAAAGUUUCAAUAUAAAUACCUUAUUGUUUUAAUUUUUAUUUUAUUUUAAACAAAAAUUGAAUUUGACAAAGUGUGAUAAGUUCAAUUAUGCAAAGGAGAGCACUCAGUCGGUUAAAGCUCAACAAGUUACAUAUAACUUUGAUCUAGAUACUCUGAUUUGGGAGGGAUCCUAUGGAAGAGUAUAUUAUGAUGUUCAUAAAAGUGAGCAGGGAGUCGCAACCAAGAACUUGGAUGCCAACAUACAGGCUGAUGAGGAACUUUUAGCCCAGUGUGCAAUGAGAUGAGAAGGAUAUCGAGAAUGGAGAGCAAAAGCAGGACGAAUAGAACAAGGGAUAUAAAUUUAAACAUAUAUUUAUUGAAGCUAAUUUAUCUCUUAUGUUUUAGUUCUUUGUGUUUAUGUGAUUUUAGGGUUUAUGAAUUAAAUUGAUGAUGCUUUUUACCUGAUUUAAGUUAAUUCUAGACAAACAAUUUCAUGUAAGAAGGUAAUCUUUUUCCUGUAAUUAAUUAUCUAUUUGUCUAUAUAUAAUGUGCACUUGAUGUAUUUAUAUAAACUACUUUCAAACGCCAUGAGAAUCUGAAGAUUUAGUAUUCCACUACCUUUCCUACUUUGAUGGUUAGUAGUAAUUGAAAAUUCCAUGUUUAUCUUUUUCUAUAGUGAAAUUUAUAAACUUUUGUAAGAUUGGCCUUUUCACUUCAUGUUAUAGUUUUCACAAGAGCUGUAGUUUUUUUAUCAUUUUGUUGUACUAUUUUAUGGAUCCAUCUAAUUUAAAAUUCAUCCUAAGUAAUGGAUACAUUUACUUUUUUAUCAAGUACGCCUGGAAGAUUGUUAUUUAUAAUUGUACAUUAAUUUAAAUGAUAUUUGAUUAUAGUGUGCUAUUCUUUCUGCUUUCCUUUAGGUGGCAUUUAAAAAGGUAGAUUCUCCUAAAAAAUCAUUUCAAGAAAGCUUGAUUAGAUGUUGCUUAGCAAGUUGGAAACAAAGUUGAAUUCCAUCCAUUCUUUGGCUGAUGAUGCAGAGCGAAAGCAGUUCACAAAUCCACAUGUCAAAGUUGUUAUCCUUGAUGUAGAGCUAAUUGUCCAUAUUUUUUCUCAUAUAUAAUCCAAUGUUAUUGUUGUAGUUAAAAAUGUUUUAGGCUUUGUCUUUGGCACAAUUGGAGUAGUAUCCACUGGCUGUUA